CUUGCCUCUGAUCUGGAGACCAGCCGUUGCUCAAUCCUUCUUUUUCCAACUGCUCUUCCACGGCUGUCUUGCGAGGCUGGAGUUGAUGGAUGGAUUUAUAAUGAGCCUGUAGAUAGCCCCGAGGACGACGCUUUGUAAGAUGGGAGAGGAAGCAUGCUGCAGCCAAAUAUUUUGCAAUAUACGAGAACUCUUAAAAUAUGGAUGUUCUAUCCCACUUGUCAGCUUUAAGAAGCACAAAUGUUACACGCUGUGGGCUUCCAGAGUGAACUAUCUAGCCAAAAUUCCCUCUCAAGAUGAAAGAGAGGUCCUCUCUGACUGAGGAAUCCUUCUUCACCGGAGCCGGUGGUCCCUUCUAUGAGGGGGGGAUUUCGCAAACAUGACUUUGUUUUUCUUGUUCUUGUUUCAGCCUUCUCUCCUCGAUUCCUCCUCAGGUUAAACAUUUCCUUGCCAUCAGCUGCAUUAAAGGAAAGCCUUUGUAUGGUGCAUCGGAUUAUCCAGCCAGCGUCCUUCCAGGCGGAGGAUUGAGGUGGACACGCAGCUGAUCUCCGCAUGCCACUUCAGUCUCCGCACACUCUUUCCGUCACACAAUUCUCGGGCCCACAUUAGGGUAGAUCGAAGCUCCACUAUUCAGACUGCAGUUGGAUGGAGUGAAAAUCAGCCCAUGGCUCUGUUUUUAUCUUCAGUUUAGAGAUUUAGAAGCAACACAGAUGAGGACACAUCUAACUGUGCCAUGCGUGGACCAGGGAAACCUGGUGUCAGUCAAGGUCCACUUCACCCAUGUUCAAAGGGUUACGUACAUAUCGAGGAAAUUCUAGCACUUCAGUUCACAGAUCACAGGACAGCACCCUAAUUAAGCAGAUUGUUAAAAGGAUGGAGCACAUGAACGCAUCUUCUACACAGGAUUUACUAGGACACAUUGUACCCACAACCAUAAAGUGGGAGCAGCUGUUGCCUGGAACGUAGACAGAGACUCAUGAAGUAGAAGUCAGUGGUCUUGGCUGCUCUCCAGCACCUGAUGAGACAUCAUUUUUACAGUCACGAUACGGUGCAGCAAGUGAGACGGAACCGCAAAUGCAGACGGUGAUUACUGGCCUUACCCCCACGGAGCUGCAAGUCCCUGUAUCCAAGUGUCUCCAUUUGACUCUCAAAACCAGAGUGCCAGUUGUGACCUUGCCCCCAAGUCCACCUUCCCCACCACUCUAGCACCUAAGUGACCCUUUCCCAAGUCGUCCAGGGAUGGAUGCUAUGCUUUCUACCUGUGACCUGCCAGUUACACUAGGGAAAUGAUCCCGAGUCUUUCAUUUCUCUCUGUCUGCAUUACCACCUGCGGAGUCACCGGCCACCCUUCCCACACUCCAUUAACGACGACAGCUCCCCGCAUGAAGCCUCCUGCUCCCACUUUCCGUACACAAUCUAUUCUACAUGAUCAUAGCACACCGUUUACAGCGAUCGGACUGCAGAUGAAAUCUGAAGUCCCUGCUCUUCACGGAUUCCGCGCUCAAGCUCUGACUCAGGUGCACCCACCUCCCCACCCUCGACCUUCUGCCGUGUUCUUCCCGGGGCUCCACCACUGUAUCACACCCAUCCCUGGUGCCAUUGGCACCUUCAGCUGUGGGUGUGCCCUCAUACUGGGUGUCUGACUCCUUUUUCCAAGCUGGCCUCAGCUCAAACGUCACCUCCUUUAGACUUGCUAGGUACAGACUCUAAAGCAGUCACUUCACCCAUGUGCCCUCAGCCAGCUCUGUGCUAUGUUUCCUUCAUAGCAUUUACUGCAGCCUGAGAUGCUCAGCUUGUUCUUCAAUGUCCUGCUCUUCCACUGAGAUACAUGUGCUUGUAGGAUGUUCCCACCUUGUCUACCUCCUUCAAAACUGUUGCCCUGUGUCUGGAAUACUAUCUGGCAUGUAGUAG